rnacentral:rRNA from 1 species
AUUGAACGCUGGCGGCAUGCCUUACACAUGCAAGUCGAACGGUAACAGGUCUUCGGAUGCUGACGAGUGGCGAACGGGUGAGUAAUACAUCGGAACGUGCCUAGUAGUGGGGGAUAACUACUCGAAAGAGUGGCUAAUACCGCAUGAGAUCUACGGAUGAAAGCAGGGGAUCGCAAGACCUUGUGCUACUAGAGCGGCCGAUGGCAGAUUAGGUAGUUGGUGGGAUAAAGGAUUACCAAGCCGACGAUCUGUAGCUGGUCUGAGAGGACGAUCAGCCACAAGGGAACUGGGACACGGCCCAGACGCCUACGGGAGGCAGCAGUGGGGAAUUGUGGACAAUGGGCGCAAGCCUGAUCCAGCAAUGCCGCGUGCAGGAUGAAGGCCUUCGGGUUGUAAACUGCUUUUGGACGGAACGAAAAGCCCUGGGUUAAUACCCUGGGGUCAUGACGGUACCGUAAGAAUAAGCACCGGCUAACUACGUGCCAGCCGCCGCAGUAAAAC